AUGGCUGUCGUCAGCUCGUGCCGUGAGGUGUUGGGUUAAGUCCCGCAACGAGCGCAACCCCUAUCUUUAGUUGCCAGCGAGUAAUGUCGGGGACUCUAAAGAAACUGCCUACGCAAGUAGAGAGGAAGGCGGGGACGACGUCAAGUCAUCACGGCCCUUACGUCCUGGGCCACACACGUGCUACAAUGGUUGGUACAGAGGGCAGCUACCGGGUGACCGGAUGCGAAUCUCUAAAGCCAAUCUCAGUUCGGAUUGGAGUCUGCAACUCGACUCUAUGAAGCUGGAAUCGCUAGUAAUCGCGCAUCAGCCAUGGCGCGGUGAAUACGUUCCCGGGCCUUGUACACACCGCCCGUCAAGCCAUGGAAGCUGGGGGUACCUGAAGUCGGUAACCGUAAGGAGCUGCCUAGGGUAAAACUAGUAACUGGGGCUAAGUCGUAACAAGGUAGCCGUACCGGAAGGUGCGGCUGGAACACCUCCUUUUUAGAGAAAAACGGAUGGUUCGUGAUAAUUUUUACAACUGACGUAGUUGUUUCUUUCCUUCAAAAAUAUUGAAUAAGCAGGAAGUCCUCCCUAUUGGACUCAAAGUAGGAGGGAAUUUAAAGUCCCGUAGCUCAGUUGGUUAGAGCACUACACUGAUAAUGUAGGGGUCAGCAGUUCAAAUCUGCUCGGGACUACUAGACUUGAGAGAGUUUAAGUAAUACUGGGGGAUUAGCUCAGCUGGCUAGAGCACCUGCCUUGCACGCAGGGGGUCAUCGGUUCGACUCCGAUAUCCUCCACGUAAAAAGUUCAUUGACAUAUUGGAAUUGAUUGAAGUAGUAAACAAUAGAGAAAAAAAACUAAUAAGUUUGAUAAGUUACUAAGGGCACACAGGGAAUGCCUUGGCUCUGAGAGGCGAAGAAGGACGUGAUAAGCUGCGAUAAGGUACGGGGAUAAGCAAAUAUUAAUUGAUCCGUACAUUUCCGAAUGGGGAAACCCGG
rnacentral:sRNA from 1 species